AGGAACAACGCUGGCGGCGUGCCUAACGCAUGCAAGUCGAGCGGGGGGUCCUUUCGGGGGUCUUCAGCGGCGGACGGGUGAGUAGCGCGUGACCGACCUGCCCGCGAGUGGGGGCCAACCCCCGGGAAACCGGGGCUGUUACCGCAUGAGUCCGGUCGCCGGUGGGGUGAUUGGGGAAAGCCCUUUCGGGGGCGCUGGCGGAGGGGGUUGCGUCCGAUUAGCUAGUCGGCGGGGUAACGGCCCACCGAGGCGACGAUCGGUCGCUGGUCUGAGAGGACGACCAGCCACAGGGGGACUGAGACACGGCCCCCACACCUACGGGUGGCAGCAGCGAGGGAUUUUCGGCAAUGGGCGCAAGCCUGACCGAGCAACGCCGCGUGCGGGACGACGCCCUUCGGGGUGUAAACCGCUUUUGGUCGGGGCGAAGAUGACGGUACCGAUCGAAUCAGUCUCGGCUACUACGUGCCAGCAGCCG
rnacentral:rRNA from 1 species